AACCCGUACUCUAUUUUCAUUUCAAUUUUCACACUAGAGCUUAUUCCUAUCUCUCCGAGUUCACUCGCAUAAAGCCCUAGUCUGAAUCAGAUUUAGAUUCUCCUUCCCUCUCAGAUCCAAUCCCUUCUUUCUCUCGCUUGACCCUUCCCCAACUCCAUCUCCAUCUCUGUCUUGUCGCUUCCAAUCUCUACAUUAUUUUUGAAGCCCUAAUCUGAACAAUUUUUUUCGCAAAAAAGUUGAACCCAGUUUAUUUUUCAAUCUGAUUGAUUCUCGCUCUCAAAAUAUAUCAGUUGAAUUGAAGCCCUAGAGUGGAAUUAUGUUGGAAGCCAUUGAGGAUGCAAGAAACCGACCAAUAAAGUUUCAUUGAGCUCUAUUCAAGCUUGAUUGAGCGCAACAAAUUAAUCAGUGUACGUGCAGUGGACACAACAAACAAGAAGUGGGAUGAAUCAAUAUUUUCUCAAGGUUUCAAAUUGAUUGCAAUCUGGCUCCCUUUUUGGAUUUGGAUCUUAGAUUUUUUUUGAAAUUUUGAUAUGUGAACGUGAUUAGUUGUGUAAUAUUGGAUUUGGAUAUUAAUAUUUUGAUAUGUGUUGGAAUUAUCAUUUUAGAUUUUGAA